rnacentral:rRNA from 1 species
CCGUAGUACGGCGAGUGAAGCGGGAUGAGCUCAAAUUUAAAAUCUGGCAGCCUAAGGUUGUCCGAGUUGUAGUCUAGAGAAGCGUUUUCCGCGUAGGCCUGUGUACAAGUCCCUUGGAAUAGGGCGUCAUAGAGGGUGAGAAUCCCGUCCUUGACACAGAUCAUCUAUGCUUUGCGAUGCGCUCUCGAAGAGUCGAGUUGUUUGGGAAUGCAGCUCAAAAUGGGUGGUAAAUUCCAUCUAAAGCUAAAUACUGGCGAGAGACCGAUAGCGAACAAGUACCGUGAGGGAAAGAUGAAAAGCACUUUGGAAAGAGAGUUAAACAGUACGUGAAAUUGUUGAAAGGGAAACGAUUGAAGUCAGUCAUGUGGUUCGAGAUUCAGCCGGUUCUGCCGGUGUAUUUCUCGAGCUACAGGCCAGCAUCAGUUUCGACCGGUGGAAAAAGUUGGAGGGAACGUGGCAUCCUCGGAUGUGUUAUAGCCCUCUUUCACAUGCAUCGGACGGGACUGAGGAACGCAGCGUGCCUUUAUGGUCGGUCUUCGGACACGAACGCGCUUAGGAUGCUGGCAUAAUGGCUUUAAACGACCCGUCUUACACA